rnacentral:tRNA from 1 species
GGGCCCGUGGCUUAGACUGGUUAUAGCGCCGCUCUGAUAAGGCGGAUAUCGCGCGUUCAAAUCGCGUCGGGCCCACCA